rnacentral:sRNA from 1 species
ACACGAGAAGGGAGGUGGUUCGGCAGAUGUAUGACAACCGGACGCGUGAGGUGACUGCGGGCUAGCGCCCGUCACCCCAUUCAGUGCGGUGCCGGAUCAGCGCGUGACAGACGCGUGCAGCCGGCCCAAUCCCAGGCAGUCACCCGACCCGCGAGUCGCCGGUACGUCCGGCCGGCUCCUCCACGGAGGAACCAGACUCGCGGGUCGUCUGCG